GGUUGAAUGGUCUAGUGGUUAUGACGAUCGCCUCACAAACAAUGAACGCGAUAGGUCUCGGGUUCGACCCCCGGUUCGACCU